rnacentral:rRNA from 1 species
UACGGGGGGGGCAAGCGUUGUUCGGAAUUACUGGGCGUAAAGGGCUCGUAGGCGCCAACUAAGUCAGACGUGAAAUCCCUCGGCUUAACCGGGGAACUGCGUCUGAUACUGGUUGGCUUGAAUCCGGGAGAGGGAUGUGGAAUUCCAGGUGUAGCGGUGAAAUGCGCAGAUAUCAGGAGGAACACCGGUGGCGAAGGCGGAUCUCUGGGCCGAUACUGACGCUGAGGAGCGAAAGCGUGGGGAGCGAACAGG